GGCUGUGACAUCGAUUGACAGCACACAAAAGGUGCUAGGAAAUAUCUGGGAGCAAAUAUUCAGUUCGAACUCACAGCUCACAGGCGAUAAAGCAAAUUUUUAAAUUACACAAAUAACAAAUUUUUAUUUAGUUUUUUUUUUUUUUUGGAACAUUUGUAAGUGAGAAAUAUUCCAAAUGAAUAUAAAUAAUAAUAGCUAACAAUACUUCCUGCAGUUUCUCAGAAUGCUCAACUGAGAAUGCCAGUUCCACCACCACCACCACCACAACAAUAACAAGAAUAAAGAAUAAAAUAUUGUAAAGCUCGGUGCCCUUAAUGGAAAAUGCAACACCACAUGGAUGCCACUUGCAUCCGGCGCAUUGCAUUGCAGACACACGUUUUAACCUUUAACCUUUAAUCUUUAAUCUUUAAUAUGGGUAAGUGAAGAGAUUUGAAUCGGAAUUAAAUGAAUGCAUUUGAAUUGUGAACUCUUUGCAGCUUCGUUGCCUCAAAAUACCACCACAACAGCGCCGGGAGACUCACUGCCAAAGUCUCCACGGCGCCAAGAAGGGAUCGACAGCAUCGAUGGAGGCACCCACAGCUCCCCCUUGGUGCGGUACUUCUACUUCAGCUGUCUCCCACAUUAAGGAUUACAGGGGACUACUUCGAGCCUUCGACAUUGCGGCUGGGCCGCAAUGCCGCAGGACAACAAAAUAAUAAUAACUGCGAUGAAAUGCGGACCAUCUCCACUUAGACAAUAAAUGCAACAAAAAAAAAUAUAACACUAGAUGACGUAGGC
rnacentral:lncRNA from 1 species